AGUGAACGCUGGCGGUAGGCCUAACACAUGCAAGUCGAACGGCAGCACAGUAAGAGCUUGCUCUUACGGGUGGCGAGUGGCGGACGGGUGAGGAAUACAUCGGAAUCUACUUUUUCGUGGGGGAUAACGUAGGGAAACUUACGCUAAUACCGCAUACGACCUACGGGUGAAAGCAGGGGAUCUUCGGACCUUGCGCGAUUGAAUUAGCCGAUGUCGGAUUAGCUAGUUGGCGGGGUAAAGGCCCACCAAGGCGACGAUCCGUAGCUGGUCUGAGAUGAUGGUCGCCAAAACUGGAAAUGAAGACCGGCCCAGGCUCCUACGGGGGGCAGGAGGGGGGAAUUUUGGGAAAGGGGGGGAAGCCUGCACCAGCCCUACCGGGUGGGUGAAGAAGGCCUUCGGGUUGUAAAGCCCUUUUGUUGGGAAAGAAAAGCAGCAGGUUAAUACCCCGCUGUUCUGACGGUACCCAAAGAAUAAGCACCGGCUAACUUCGU
rnacentral:rRNA from 1 species